UACGAGAGGCCCAAACGUUAUUCGGAUUUACUGGGCUUAAAGAGUUCGUAGGCGGCGCAGAAAGUAGGGUGUGAAAGCCCUCGGCCUAACCGAGGAAUUGCGCUCUAAACUACUGUGCUUGAGGAAUCUAGAGGUGAGCGGAACUGAUGGUGGAGCGGUGAAAUGCGUUGAUAUCAGGAGGAACACCGGUGGCGAAGGCGGCUCUCUGGUCCGUUUCUGACGCUGAUGUGCGAAAGCCAGGGUAGCGAACGGG
rnacentral:rRNA from 1 species